UGGCUCAGUUGGUCGAGCAUGGCACUUGCAAUGCCAUGGUUGUGGGUUUGAAACCCAAU
rfam:Salmo salar isolate Sally breed double haploid chromosome ssa06, whole genome shotgun sequence.